rnacentral:lncRNA from 1 species
UUUUAUUUCCUUACUUUACAGGGUUUGUUGUUCUUGAGAUAGUUAUGAUGGAUGGUGAUGUUUAUUCGCCAUAUCUGAUGGUCUUAACCAGUGCGUUCGUUCUGUACUUAGUGCAAAGGUACGUGCAUUCAAAUUAAACGUUAGAUCUUAGGGGCUGUUUAAAUGAUACCGGAAUUUCUCGGGACGGAAUGAAGACGGGAAUGAUUUUGUUGUUUUGAAAUGAAUCACUAAGCUUUAAGGAAAGUUCUAACGCCGGUUAAAAGAACUCAAAUGUUGUCGAGAAGAACUCGUAGUUCAAGAAAAUUAUUAUUGCUGCUUGAACAACAUCUCGUUUACAAUUAUACUAUAAUCUAUCAUUACAACAACUUGUCAACAGGAUGUGUUCGUACCGCUUGUUCCCAGCUUGUUGCAAGUUGUCAACGGCUUACUCACAACUUGCUACAAGGUUGUUGAACUCAACUGACUUCUUACAAGUUGUUCCAAAAACUUGUUGUCGUCCUGCAAUUCAACAAUUUGUCAACAAGUUGUGAGCAACAAACUUGUAACAACAUUUUUACAACUUGUUGACAAGCUUGCUACAAGCCUGUUGCGAACACAUCUUGUACACACGUGAAAACACACAAGUUGUUACAAAUCUGUUCACAAGCUGUCGUCACAUUGUGUUCGCACUGCUUGUUCCUAGUUGUUGUAACAAGUUUGGAACAAGUUUGGAACAAGCUGUUAACAACUUGUAACAAACUUGAUGGCUUUAUCAGACUUGUUACAAGAUUUAUUACAACUUUAUUGUUCUAACAAGUCUGAUGCAGUCAUGGUAUUAAAAGAAUGUUACAAGGUUGACGACACAAGGUUGUAACAAUAUUGUUAUAUCGUGACUGUAUGGGACUUGUUGCAACAACCUUGCAACAAAUCUGAUAAUAUCAACAAGGUUGUUACAAGUUGUGAACAGCUUGUUCCGAACUUGUGCGACAAGCAGUGCGAACACAACUUGUUGGCAGACUUGCUAAAAGAUAUGAGAUUUUUGCCUGUGUAGAAAUGAAUAUGUCUAUUCUAUAUGUUUGUGACAAUUUUUCCCCCAGGUUACAUGAAGUCCGACGUCUUAAUAAAACUCCAGCUCUGACUUGCAUUUCACUUCAUGGUUCUAAAUUGUUGUUCAUGUUUACGUCGCUAAACGCGAAACCGAAGUUGGAAGCCUUGUCGUCAUCGCUUGUGGUCUGUGGAGGAUUCUGUCUUUGUGGUAUUCUAAUGAAUGCGCUCCUGUUUGAACAUGAAAAGCAUCUUGACAGGAAUAAGGU